GGUCAUGGAGAGUCUCCAUCCAGCUGGAUCACUGUCACAGGGGAACACACCACCACACCUCCACCUACAUCCACACCUCCACCUACAUCCACCUCUCCUCCUGCCUCCAUCGCUAGCCCUGGUUCCCCUCUCAUACCUGUGUUGUCAUGUGUUGGAUCAGUCUGUGCUGUGGUUCUACUGGUGUUACUGGUUCUGCUGGUGAAACAAUGUGUUCACAGAAAACCUGAAGCAGAUCAAGAAGAAACCGAAGAUGACAUCAUCACUCAUGUCAAGUACAACAUCAAAACAUCCAGUCAUCAACAACAACCAAUCAGACGAAGCAGAGCAGAUCAAGAGGAAACUGGAGAAGAUGACAUCCUGACUCAUGUCAAGUACAACAUCAAAGCAUCCAGUCAUCAAAAACAACCAGACAGACGAAGCACAGGUAAUGUUGCGUUUUCUUCAUGGGGGUGGGGAGGUCAAAGAUGAGGGUCAGACAGUUUCAGCUCAUUGUUAUCAUAGUAAAGAUGAUGGUCCGUGUACUUGUUGUUUUACUGCUCUGGACAACGUGGUUGUCUGUGGGAACCAAUUCGCUUUUGGAGCCUCAAGUGGACAUUAGAGUAAUUGCACUUUUUUUCAGUUCAUUUUUGGCUCUGGCAGUGUCACGGUUCUGGGUCAAAUUGACCCAACAUUUCGAGUUCUCAUGUUUUGGUUUAAUUUUGUAUUUUUAGUUAUUUUCUUGAUCUAUUGUCAGGAGAUGAUGAUGAUGAUGAUGAUGAUGGUGAUGAUUAGUAUUAUUUAGUAUGUUCCAGCUUAUUCUGGUUUAGGUUUAGUUCUGCCCGUUUAAAGUCUGUGUUUCUUAGUCUCCGUCUUUGUGUAUUGUUUCCUGUUUUAUUUUGCCUUUGCUCAGUGUCGCAUCGUACGCUCACGUUAACUGUGUUCUGUCUGCCUGCUUAGUUCGGUUUUGGAUUCUCAGUUUAGUGAAGUUCCUGUUCUGUUGCUAUCAGCAAUAAAGUCUUGUUGAGUUUACGUUUGCCUCCGAGUCCUGGAUUUUGGGUCCUUUCUCCCUGCCUGCCUGCACACAGCCAAUUUCUGUUUGGUUUGUUUGAUAUUUUGAUUAAGCUUAAAGCACAGAGCUUAGCCCAUAUUUAAGACAGGUAUUACCAGUUUGGCUGCUGAGUGGUUAAAUUUGCUUCUGUGGACUUUGGUGAAGGUUUACAGUGGGAACAUUUAUGCAACAUGGUGAUGGUAUUUAAAAAACAUAACAUCGAGAUCAGGCGCUCAUGGUGGUGUGGCCACAAGUAUAUGUGACCAAGUGGUCAACAAGGGUUAUAUCAAAAUAAUACAAUGACAAUGCCACCAAGGGGUACUUCACCCCCAGUUAAUAUAAAGUCUUCUUAAAAACUAGAAAAGACACAGGUUUAAGGACUCAACACCGAGGCAGAUUGGCUCCAAUAUCAAUAUGUCAUUUAUUUGUAUUUAUCACAAUUAAACAACAGAUAAAAAAGAUGAAAUCUGACUGUGGCACAGCAUAUUUUAACAGUGUCCUGGAUUACAUAAAACCAUACAUUGAACUGGACUUACCAGUAGCUGAAAACCACACAAAAAUCAAGCUUACACCCCAGGUGCUGUACAGCAAAGGAAGUGUGGAAAAUAACCACCACCAAAGGUCCCACGGCUACUGGUGUGUCCUCAGUGCACUUUAAUAAAAAAACACAACACAACAGUCAUAAAGUUAAAAGUCAAAGAAAAACUCUAAAAGGAACCAAGCUUGUUGCGCACAGUCAGGAGACAGUGUACAUUUGAAUAUUUAACCUGUCCACACUACACCGGUAGCACAGUGCUUGUUGCAGGCCUGAUUCGAAGUUCGGGUGCGGUGAGGCUUAAAACUGUUGGCCGCUUCACUCAAGCUGAGCAAUAAACAAAAUAUGUGCACUUUAGUUCCAGUUAGUACUCAUGAGUCCAAUGAGUUUGUUAGUGGGGCAAUCAGAAACGGGCAGUUAGCAGUUAGUUCACCAGUAGUGAAGACAGUCAGGGGCAAGAAAACAGCAGGGUCCAUCCGGGCAGAAACCUCUCUCUCCCUCUCCUUUGUCCGCUCUCUGGUAUGUUGUAUGCUCUGUCUAUUGAACCGA